UCCCUUAUGGCAUGCUGGACCUACCUACCAAACCUUAAACCAUCCAAAAAUCUCAACCUUAUGUGGCGUGCUCCGGCGGACGAGAAAUUAUCAGAUCGACCAGGUUCGCCGGAAGCAAACGGCCCUCCGUUGCUCACCUCCAAUGUGGGUCACGUCAGCCGGGAGCAACUCAGCUCUCUCUUAAUUGAUCUGCCGAUAAUAGCGAGGAACAGGAUGCGAUCUUUUAGCUGGUCGCGCAUC
rnacentral:lncRNA from 1 species